UACGGAGGAUGCGAGCGUUAUCCGGAUUUAUUGGGUUUAAAGGGUGCGUAGGCGGCCUGCCAAGUCAGCGGUAAAAUUGCGGGGCUCAACCCCGUGCAGCCGUUGAAACUGCCGGGCUCGAGUGGGCGAGAAGUAUGCGGAAUGCGUGGUGUAGCGGUGAAAUGCAUAGAUAUCACGCAGAACCCCGAUUGCGAAGGCAGCAUACCGGCGCCCGACUGACGCUGAGGCACGAAAGUGCGGGGAUCAAACAGG
rnacentral:rRNA from 1 species